rnacentral:rRNA from 1 species
UAGCAUAUCAAUAAGCGGAGGAAAAGAAACCAACAGGGAUUGCCUCAGUAACGGCGAGUGAAGCGGCAACAGCUCAAAUUUGAAAUCUGGCCUCUGGCCCGAGUUGUAAUUUGCAGAGGAUGUUUCUGGCGAGGUGCCUUCCGAGUUCCCUGGAACGGGACGCCAUAGAGGGUGAGAGCCCCGUACGGUUGGUCGCUAAGCCUCUGUGAAACUCCUUCGACGAGUCGAGUAGUUUGGGAAUGCUGCUCUAAAUGGGAGGUGUACGCCUUCUUAAGCUAAAUACCGGCUAGAGACCGAUAGCGCACAAGUAGAGUGAUCGAAAGAUGAAAAGCACUUUGAAAAGAGGGUUAAAAAGUACGUGAAAUUGUUGAAAGGGAAGCGCUCUUGACCAGACUUGCGCCGGUUGAUCAUCCGCCGUUCUCGGUGGUGCACUCUGCCGGCUCAGGCCAGCAUCAGUUCGGUCCGGGGGAUAAAGGCUUCGGGAAUGUGGCUCUCUCCGGGGAGUGUUAUAGCCCGUUGCGUAAUACCCUGGGCUGGACUGAGGUUCGCGCAUCUGCAUGGAUGCUGGCGUAAUGGUUAUCAGUGACCCGUCUUGAAACACGGACCAAGGAGUCGUCUUCGUAUGCGAGUGUUCGGGUGUCAAACCCCUACGCGUAAUGAAAGUGAACGUAGGAGAGAGCUUCGGCGCAUCUCCGACCGAUCCUGAUGUUCUCGGAUGGAUUUGAGUAAGAGCAUACGGGGCCGGACCCGAAAGAAGGUGAACUAUGCCUGUAUAGGGUGAAGCCAGAGGAAACUCUGGUGGAGGCUCGCAGCGGUUCUGACGUGCAAAUCGAUCGUCAAAUAUGGGCAUGGGGGCGAAAGACUAAUCGAACCUUCUAGUAGCUGGUUUCCGCCGAA